rnacentral:rRNA from 1 species
ACUCCUACGGGAGGCAGCAAUGGGGAAUGAUUGCACAAUGGGGGGAAACCCUGAUGCAGCCAUGCCGCGUGUGUGAAGAAGGCCUUCGGGUUGUAAAGCACUUUCAGUAGGGAGGAAGGUAGUGUAGUUAACACCUGCAUUAUUUGACGUUACCUACAGAAGAAGCACCGGCUAACUCCGUGCCAGCAGCCGCGGUAAUACGGAGGGUGCGAGCGUUAAUCGGAAUUACUGGGCGUAAAGCGCAUGCAGGCGGCCUGUUAAGUCAGAUGUGAAAGCCCGGGGCUUAACCUCGGAAUUGCAUUUGAAACUGGCAGGCUAGAGUCUUGUAGAGGGGGGUAGAAUUUCAGGGUGUAGCGGUGAAAUGCGUAGAGAUCUGAAGGAAUACCAGUGGCGAAGGCGGCCCCCUGGACAAAGACUGACGCUCAGAUGCGAAAGCGUGGGGAGCAAACAGGAUUAGAUACCCUGGUAGCGUCGUCU